CAGUAGCCGCGGUAAUACGAAGGGGGCUAGCGUUGUUCGGAAUUACUGGGCGUAAAGGGCGCGUAGGCGGCCAUUCAAGUUAGAUGUGAAAGCCCUGGGCUCAACCUAGGAAUUGCAUUUGAUACUGUUUGGCUUGAGUUCGGGAGAGGUGAGUGGAAUUCCCAGUGUAGAGGUGAAAUUCGUAGAUAUUGGGAAGAACACCAGUGGCGAAGGCGGCUCACUGGACCGACACUGACGCUGGGGCGCGAAAGCGUGGGGAGCAAACAGGAUUAGAUACCCCAGUAGUCCCUGUCUCUUAUAA
rnacentral:rRNA from 1 species